CCCUCAGAUGUUCUGGGCAGCACGCGCGCUACAAUGGUCUUCGCAAACGGAUGCAUUCUCGAAGGAGAAUGCCAAUCUUGGAAUCUAUGCCUUGGUCGGGACAGUUGCUUGCAAUUUUUCGACUCGAACCAGGAAUUCCUUGUAAUCGUGAUUCAUCACAUCACGAUGAAUACGUCCCUGCCCUUUGUACACACCGCCCGUCGCUCCUACCGAUCGAAGAGUUAGGUGAAUUGUUUUGAUCGAUAAGAUUUGACUAUGGUCAACUCUCGUUGUGAAAUUCUGUGAAUCUGACUGUUUAGAGGAAGGAAAAGUCGUAACA
rnacentral:rRNA from 1 species